rnacentral:rRNA from 1 species
AGGAUGAACGCUGGCGGCGUGCCUAACACAUGCAAGUCGAACGUCCUGUCUCGCAAGAGGCAGGGAGUGGCGGACGGGUGAGUACCACGUGGGUCAUCUACCGUGAGGUGAGGAAUACCGGCGAGAAAUCGCCGACAAGACCGCAUAGGCUCGAUGCAAGUCGAGCAAAGCUCUUUCGAGAGAGGGAGCGCCACACGAGGAGCCUGCGCCCGAUUAGCUAGCUGGUGGAGUAACGGUUCACCAGGGCGACGAUCGGUAGCUGGUCUGAGAGGACGAUCAGCCACACUGGGAUUGAGAACGGCCCAGACUCCUACGGGGGGCAGCAGUGAGGAAUUUUCGUCAAUGGGGGCAACCCUGAACGAGCAACGCCGCGUGCAGGAAGAAGGUUUUCGGAUCGUAAACUGCUUUUCUCGGGGAAGAGAACGGACGGUACCCGAGGAACUCGGCCCCGGCUAACUACGUGCCAGCAGCCGCGGU